rnacentral:rRNA from 1 species
AUUGAACGCUGGCGGCAGGCCUAACACAUGCAAGUCGAGCGGUAACAGAACUAGCUUGCUAGUUGCUGACGAGCGGCGGACGGGUGCGUAACACGUAGGAAUCUGCCCGGUAGUGGGGAUAGCCCGGAGAAAUCCGGAUUAAUACCGCAUACGCACUCUCUUUUAUAAGAGGGUGGAAAGAUGGCCUCUUCAAGAAAGCUGUCGCUAUCGGAUGAGCCCUGCGUCGGAUUAGCUAGUUGGUAGGGUAAAGGCCUACCAAGGCAACGAUCCGUAGCUGGUCUGAGAGGAUGAUCAGCCACACUGGGACUGAGACACGGCCCAGACUCCUAC